UAGUCACAAUAAUCGGGGUUCGCAGAUGC
rnacentral:sRNA from 1 species